UACGAAGGGGGGCUAGCGUUGUUCGGAAUUACUGGGCGUAAAGCGCGCGCAGGCGGUCUUCCAAGUCAGUGGUGAAAGCCCGGAGCUCAACUCCGGAACUGCCAUUGAAACUGUUGGACUUGAGUACGAGAGAGGUGAGUGGAAUUCCCAGUGUAGAGGUGAAAUUCGUAGAUAUUGGGAAGAACACCGGUGGCGAAGGCGGCUCACUGGCUCGUAACUGACGCUCAGGCGCGACAGCGUGGGGGAUCAAAACAGG
rnacentral:rRNA from 1 species